GGAGGAUUGGCCGAGUGGUAAGGCACCGGUUUGCUGAACCGUGGUCGGGUCCGACAGCCCGCGCACGUUCGAUCCGUGCAUCCUCCG
rnacentral:tRNA from 1 species